CAGCAGCCGCGGUAAUACGAAGGGUGCAAGCGUUAAUCGGAAUUACUGGGCGUAAAGCGUGCGUAGGCGGUUUGUUAAGUCUGCUGUGAAAUCCCCGGGCUCAACCUGGGAAUGGCAGUGGAUACUGGCAAGCUAGAGUGUGUCAGAGGAUGGUGGAAUUCCCGGUGUAGCGGUGAAAUGCGUAGAGAUCGGGAGGAACAUCAGUGGCGAAGGCGGCCAUCUGGGACAACACUGACGCUGAGGCACGAAAGCGUGGGGAGCAAACAGGAUUAGAUACCCCAGUAGUCCCUGUCUUUUAUAC
rnacentral:rRNA from 1 species